rfam:Erinaceus europaeus unplaced genomic scaffold scaffold00206, whole genome shotgun sequence
GUGCUCACUUCAGUAGCACAUAUACUAAAAUUGAAGCAAUAGAAGAUUAGCAUGGCCCCUGUGCAAGGAUGACAUGCAAAUUUGUGAAGUGUUCCAUAUUUUU